GGAGAAAUGACUGAUAGGAUGAUGGCAAAUUAUUUGCAGAUCCUGAGCACCACUGACAAACAUCCAGGCUAAUCUUGUGAAAUCUGGGAUGCUGCUGAAACAGGAACUCUGUCCAGAGCGAUCAGGCCACUGAAGGCAGACGAGUGCAUGAAACUACAACUACAAGCACAACACUAAAAACAGCCCCGCGAGAGAGCAGCCGUCCAGAACAACGGGACAAUUCAAGUCAGAUUGCUUAGAAAAAUGAGUGCCACAUCUGCAAAUCUGAAACUGGGACACAAGACGUUUCAGAUCAGAUCAUGAUCCAGAUCCGUCAUACAUAUCAACAACUUUAACCUUUAUAAACGUGUUCACUCUGAAUAAUAUGGAUAUGUACUACAGUAAAAGUCCGGUCGUCCAGCAGAUGGAUGGUUGGUUUCAGACCCUCCUCCUCUCAAAGCUGCUUAUCUGGACUGGCGGUCCAGUGUUGCUCCAGACUCCGGCUCCGGCAGAUGGAAAACGCCCUGAUAAUUCCCGAAGAGAGGAUUAAACUCAACACAUCCUACAGCAGGCCUGCAUGAACACUAUGGGAUGCUCAGGAUGUAUAUGUGAAGAGGUUACAUGACCUGGAAGUGAUUCUCAACACAUAUACGGUUAGGAGGAUAUACGAAGCCACAGGUCUAAUAAAAACAUAAAAAUCAAAUGCAUUGGCAACAAAACUCUACUUAUCAUCAUGCAUUUGAGUGUGUGAACAAGUAUAAAACUUGUGAGUCAACAUCACUAUAUUAUACCUCAAAUUACUGAGGGUUUAGUGAUUUGAACAAACCCCUAACCAAGUAUUAAUGGUCAUUUCUGUGUUGGAAUGGAUCUGUGAGGAUGGUGAUUCCAGCUGGGAUUCCCAACAUCCCAAAAGUAAACAAAACACUGAUAAAUCUGCCUAUAACAAUACUGACAUCUAGAGGCCACUGCCUGCAUGCACAUAUACACACACCAAAACACAAAAAUAUAUAAUAAUAUAUAUAUUAAAUAAAGAAAGAAACUUUAUAAAAUACAAUAAUAUAGUUAUAUUUAUAAUAUAAUUUGCAUAAAAAGCAUAUGCACUAGCA